GUGCUUACUUGCAUGGCACAUAUGCUCAAAUUGGUAUGAUAAAGAAAAGAUUAGCAUGGAUCCUGGGCAAGGAUGACUUUCAAAUUUAUAAAGUGUUCCAUCUUUUU